AACAGAACCUCCUUAUCGAGGCCAUUCCAUUAGUGUGCGAAGACCCUAGGAAGGCAAGACUUCCCUAAAGGCGCAAACGGCUGUGACUCAAUCGUCCUCACCAACACAUGGAAUCAGAGUUGGCAAAGAAACACAGACGCCGACUUCCUGAGGCAUGAGUUUUGUAAUGGAACACUAAAGGGACACACGUGUCCAUCAGCGGGAGAGUGGCUUAAAUUCAUCGUGGAGUAUGUCAACAAUGGAAUGUCGCAGCCGGUUUGAAGCAACAAGUGGAAGCUAUCCGCACAUGCUCAAGGGUGCACCUGAAUGAAUGAAGUCAGAGAAUCAAGUGUGUGUGGUUUCAUGUGAUAACCGUGUCCAUGGAGGGGAUGCGUUUAUACACUUCUUUCUAGUUUAAAGAUGUCUGAGAGGUAGGAAAAGGAAACAUGGUAAAAAUACAUUCUGGGUCAGGGCUGGAUUGAAGGACUUAGUGAUGUUUCCAAAACCACAAUGCAUCCUGUUCUGCUCACAGUCACCAACAGGGUUCAGUUUCACUAACUAUUAAAUUCUAAGACAUUAUCCUGGCUCCAAAGCCAUCCCUCUCUUCUCUUGGUCUCCAUGAUUAUGUUUCCCUUCCUAGUCUGUUUUCCAUUCACUCUUCCAAGCGCACUUCCUUCUUCAGCCCCACUGUCCUGUCUGCCUGAGAUGAAUGCACCAGGAAUGUUGGACUGACGUUUCUCUCAGGUGUCAGCCCCCCUUGUUGAGGACCAGUAGAGCUGGCCUGUGGGACAGCCAGGGGUGAUGUCCCCCGAGGAACUCCUGUGGGAAGGACUCAUCGGUCACAGUGUACUGAAGGAUUAGAACAGUGGGUUUAAAUUCUAAUUUCAAACACUUUGCGGUGGGAAAAAAGAUGGGGUGCUCAAAUUCAACCUGCUUAUGUUUGUAUCACUGCCCUCAGUACGACAUUACAAGCCAUAUUAUAACUUCCUAUUUGCAUAGGAACUUUAUUCACAUAUAAAUUAUAUUUAUAAAUUAUAAAUAUAUCCUAAAUGACAUAGCUCACUGAAUUUAAGUGACAUAAAUACGUGAAUGAAAUCAGUAGAAGACAUUUUUCACAUCUAACUAUAAUGUUUUCAUAAUAUAUUUUUUUUUGUGGUGCUGUGGGCCAAAGCCAGGGAGACACAUUGCUGGCAUAGCAUUCUACCACUAAAUUGAUAGAAUUUUUGACUGAAAGGAGUGUGCAUAAGUGCAUGUAUUCAAACAGUUUAAACCAAAUGUAUGAAAUACUGGAAGGAUAUGUUUUAUACGCUAAUUGAAAAUAAAUAGGUUUGAUAACAUGCUCUGUAAUCUUAACAAUGUGGCACUAUGUGGAACCAGGGGGAUGGCUCAGCAGGUAGAGAGAACUCACUGCUCCUGCCAAGGAUAGGGGUUCAGUUUCCAGCACCCACAUUUUAGCUCACACUCUCUUUAACUCCAGCUUUAAAAAGAUCCAUCGCCCUCUUCUGGCCUCCACAGGCACUGCACAUAAACGGUGCACAGAUACACAUUCAGGCCCACACAUGUUUUAUCAUCGUUAAUGGUGACUGCAAAGUUGUAUUUUUAUUAUUAUGUUUAACCAAAUUCCAAAUAUUCCAGCAAAUCUCCUAACAGCCUAUCUGACACCAUCAUCCUUUUACCCUCUCAAGAGGAGGAUGAAGACAACUGUUGACUUAGCCGUUUUCCUCAACUGAUUAACUCAAUGAGCGUUUGUUCAUUAUCUCUAUGUGACAGACUAGAAACUCCGGUGAGGCUAGGGCCAAACGCACCUUACUUUCGAUGUAUCCCCAGCUCAGGCACACAGUACAUACUCACUUGGUGUUUACCCAGUAGCAUGUGGGAGAGCUGGGCACUUUCCACAGGAUGGAAAUGCUCUAAAGGACCUCAGUCACUGCCUUCCCAUCACCCCAUAGCCAAGCUCCUGGAGUAAACUGGCUUUGACUUGGAAGCUCCCACAUCUGCACUGUGUAUACAUCUGCCUUGGCUAUACGUUCUUGUUCUCACUCCCUCCCUUGUCUUGGCUCCCAUGCUGGAUGGCACUUGCUGUGUUAGAAUUUGGAAUCAGCCUUGGUUGUUGGUCCCUCCUGGGGCCUGGCUAUAGGGAGGGGGACUCUCUCAGUACCUCCUAGGGAGCUGUCCACAGUACCGCUUUCCAGCCCUUGCUUGUCCUUUCCCUGGAGACUUUCUCAACAGCAUAGCCCCAGGACAACAUUAGUGUUUAUGGACAAUAUUAGUGUUUAUGGGAAAACAUAUUGCUUUCUGGAAAGCGUGUUUCCAAAUGAUCCCACGUGUCAAAUAAUUGCCCAAUCUAUGACCAAAAUGAAAUAGAUAUUUUUAAAUCGCACGACAUUAAAGACCUAUAGACAAGCUGUGGGUUAGCAAGGGGAAGAAGGUUCAGUAGAGGUGACUAGCAACCGUUCAGUGCUGUGCGAGCAUGUGUUUUCCCACAGCUGGUGUGUAAACGGACAUUGGAAAGUGAGCCAUGCUGUGGUUGUCCUGAGGACAGCGGGGAAUCGGGUAAGUAGAGAGCAGAUCAUGACCUAGAAAGAAGAGUCAUUUUCCCAGCAGGUGUAAGAAAGUCACGUGUGGACUGCGAGGGAGGGGCUUCAGCUCCCUUUAUAAGGAAGCAGUUUGAGCAAGUCUUCCUCUCAGUGUGACCUGGUGCUAAGCUCAUACUGUGUGUCUCCUGUGACUUCACAAAGGGAUUAACUCCUACUGCGGCAGAGGUGGCCUGAGGACAGCUUUAUAUUUCGGAGUUAAAGAGUGGUUCUGAAGACGUUUAAAAAAUGCUGGGUUUUUCCCAUAUCCGAUGUAAAAAUAAAGAGAAAGGGAGAAAUGUAUACUCACCUUGGUAAAGUACAGGCAAAAGCUAGAAAAUAUGUCCUACAGAAACGAUGCGGGGGCCUAGGGAGGCCCCCUAGUGACUCCCCUGUUCUUCUCUGCCUAGGAUGGCCACACGUAGAGCUGAGAAGUGCUGCUUUUCUGCUAACCGCACCAUGGCAGGAUCUGUAAACCCGAGUACCUGACUGGGAGCAGCAGGACUGGAUGCUAUGAUAUCCCAUGGCAGAGGCAGGAGCAGGAGCAGGCAGGUCGAGACCAUAGUUAUUAGAACUCUGAGAUCAAUAUUGCUUUGGGUUUCCAACACACACACACACACACACACACACACACACACACACACACACACACACACACACACAGUGUGAAGCUUAAAUGGAUUUGUAAGGUGUUUUAAAAUUCUUACGAGUGAGUUUUCGUGAGAGAAAUAUACACCAGACAUUCCUUUAGGUGUACGGCAGUGAACAAAAUAGAGGAUUCUCAUUUCACAGAGCCCUUCGAUCCAGUAUGGAAACUGGAAAAUAAACAAGCUAAUUAAAAUCUACUAAGUACUAUGGAGGAAAAGCAUGAUGAAAGAAUAUGGCCUCUUACCAGUUGACAGUUUAUUAAACGGGGUUCCCAUUUUAAACAAAGGGCUGUGGAAAUGACUGAGUUGGCAAAGUGCUUGCUACACAAGAAUGAGAGUCUGAAUUUAGGUCUCUAGUGGACACACAAAACUCUGGGGGCAGCGGUGUACACCUGUGGUCCCAGUGCUGGGAAGGACAGAAGAGGUAGGAGGGCUCGAGUCAAGCAGAAUUAGUGAUCUAGAGGGUCAGUGUGAGGUCAUUUCUCUGAACAUGAGGCAGGGGGCAAUUGAGGGAGACACUCAAUACACACACACACACACACACACACACACACACAAGCAAAUAUAGCCCAUACACAGGAAAGACUGAAUGAAACAUAUUAAGCAGUUCACAGUAUUAUUGCGCGAGAGCCAGGACAUCAGAGCCAGGGUUGGGAUUCUAGGAGGAAUGUUCUGAUAACCAUGGUCUCAUACUGCCCGUUCCCAGCACUACCUCUGCCAUGGGGUAUCACAGCUCCCUCUCCUGCUGCUGGUGGCUAGGUACUCGGGUUUUCAGAUUCUGCCAUAGCAUGGCUGACAGAAACAUACAAGGAACCCCCUAAGUUUUAGCAUGUGUUACUGGUUUUCAAGUCUGUCUGCUAGCUCCAGUGUCUGGGCAUUGGCCAUAGUCACUGCACAGAUCUUAUUUAAGAUUCUGUGUUAAAGCUAACACACAAACAUACAACAGACUUGUAGGGCUUAAAACCAGCGCCUAAAGAGUUAAUUGUUUCUGUAUCAUCCAUCGAUGAACAGUUUGAACAGAAAUAAAACAAUUCCAUUUAAUCCCGUCAUGUGAAAGUUGUAAAAUAUGAAUAAAUUUAGCUAGAGCAAUGAAAUAUUUGAACAUUGGAAAGUACCUACACUUCUGGGACAGCCUAAACAAGUGGGACGCUUCAUAUGUUCAUGGAUCAAAAGAUUAAACCAGGGCUUACAUGACAAUAUCUAAAGUGGCCUACAAAUUCAAUAUCUAUCAAAAUCCCAAAGGAGAUUUUUUUCCCUCCCAAACCUUAAAAUUCACAUGAAUUUCAAGAUAUCUCUGAAAGUCAAAACAACCUGGAAGGCAAAAUAGAAAAUUUAGAGACUUGAAAACAUUUCAUGAAGUUUUACUGAUUUCAGAAUGAAUCUGAUGCCACUAUGAUCAAAAUAGAGUGGCACCGGCAUAAAAGUAGACCCAGAACAAGGGGACAGCUUAGAGGACCCCGAUGGAAACACAUGCAGCCAAUGGAUUUUUUCAAGAAGGGUAUUGAGGUGACUCACUGAGUGGAAAAGAGAGUGUUUUAAAUACGUUCUAGGCAAACUGGACAUCCACCUACAAUGAGAUGAAAUUGUAUACUUACCUUUAUCACACUCAAAAUAGAAGAUUUAAAUGUCACAGCUAAAAUUACGAAGCUUCCAGAAAGAAAGGAAAUACUCAAUGACCUUAUACUGGUUUCUCAAAAAUGAGGUCAGGAAAGCGUCUGUGGAGGAAGAGUGAGAUGUUGCCGGUUCUCCUGAUCCUGACUUCCGGAAGACAGAGACCCAUUUCUUCUACUCUCGUUUGGCAUCUUCACUGGGAGGGAAGACCCUACAUCGAGAAAUGGAGAGCAGAGUCGUGUUAGAGCUGACAACAGUAUGAUACUUAGCAUAAAGUCCAGUCUUAUUCCACACUUCCUGGUUUAGGAGAGGCGACCUGAAGCAUUUUACUCUGCCUGGCUUGUCCCCAACCCAAACCUUGCCCUCUGCUGCCCACCUCAGCCAUGGGAAGAGCCUGGUCCUCCCUGGGCUCAGCUUCCUUCCCCACUUGUCUGUCCUGGUCCAGCAGGAGAGAUUUAGAGUAGAUGAAGUAAUCCCUCUGGCAAGUUUCCAGAUGAAGAACCAGCCUGCCUCCAUUUUUGGCUUGAAAGCCAUCUUAGAGUAAAGACAAACUAGGUUCGUUCCUGUUGAGGAUUAAACGUCUGUUUCUCAAGGAUUGGGCUAUGCCCCACCUGUAACCUUAACUACCAAUGGUUCUGUACCGCCUGUUCCAGGAAUGGCAAUCAUGCCUUUGUUUCAAAAAGUUGUUUAUAGCCAUCUUGCAACCCUACCUGUGUUUCAAAAUGUUACCUGACCACCUAUGACUCCCUUGUUAUGACUAGGACUACCUUGUUAUGUCCACUUUGCAACUACGUCUUUGAUUCAAGAGGUCAUCACGACUAAGUUGUUUGUUCUGCUCCCGUAACCAUGCCUGUUUCCCCACCAAACCCUUCAAUUCGGAACCCCCUUACCCCUAUAAAAGCCUUGUCUCCCUCACAUCCAAUGCUGAGCUCUUGACUCCCUCCUUAGGGGGAGGCAGCCUGUGUAUACGGAUAAAAAGGAUUGCUUUAAUUAAUCUCUUGCUUUAAUGAAUCUGGCUAUGGUGGUCUGGGUUGUGGGUCUUUCUCCUUCCAUGUUCUGGAUGAGCACAGCCUGAGCAACCACCCAGUAGAACUGCUAACUCCUCUCCUCAGGACCAGGAGCUCGCUCUGGCCCUGGGGAUGGAUAACCUAGACUCUGAAGACUGGGUCGAUUCUCGAUUCUUGUUUACCUUCAGGGAGUGAGUGUGUGUGCAAGCACACGUGUGAGGGCGUCUGCCAGACACCCCAGUCUGCAUACAGCUUAUUGAUGGCACGGGGAUGGGUCCAGAUGCUCCUUCAUGCAAAGCAGAAGAGAGUAAAAGGAAGUUAAUGUUGCUUCUCUUUUGCUGAGGAUAGACCAGGUUACCUUUAGUUCCAGAAUGAUGACUAAUGCGACACCUUUAUAUACUCAAAGCCUUUCUGAGUUAUCCAAAAGCAAUGCAUGCGGCCCCACAUCCUUCUCAAGUUAGUUCAGCUGGGAUCUCACUUCCUGCAUCCUCUUGAGAUGUGGGAACACAUUUGGGCUCCUACUGAAGGGUGGGACUGUGGUUCAGUAGGGCCAUUUGGCACGACUUCUUGGAGGUAGAAGAUGUAACCCAUGAGGAAUUUUUCUAAAUAAUUGAGGUUCUGCUGGCUAGGAUGCUGGCCUCAUCUUUAGGAUGUCUUCCUAUGGUGGAGGACCUGGUGUCAACACUCUAUGGCCCAAGUGAGUCUUUCAGAAAUUGUUCACCUCCCACAGGCCGCAGCAGAAACAACAGAUGGAGUGCUGUUUCAGUCUGCUUCAUGGGUCUUUUUAGCAACCCAGCCUGUGCUGCAGGGGCUACGCUUUCGGUCCAGGUAGCCCCAGCAUCACAGAAUGUUCUGCAAUGACUUCAUGACUGGAGAUCAGAGGCUCACAUUACAGGUGACCCAGGAAGACUACUGUUGGCUGAUGUUUUGGAAUACUUAACUAAAUCUGGCACCUUCCUUUCCCCACAUGGACAUGAUGCUGACCAAACAUUUUAAAGCUUUCUGGUUAAGGACAAGAUUUGAAUUCAGGCUAUCUAGUCUCUGAGUCUGUUUCCAUAAUCAACAUUCUUAACUAGUUAUUCAGUUUCUACCCAUGAGAGCUAGGGCCACCUGAACAUAGGUGCCAGUAACCUCAGUAUACCACUGCUCAGUAACCUAGAAUACAAGAAAGAACUCAGUAGCAAACUUGCUAUGGGAUAGAAUCGGCCUUUGGCUAUCUGUCAAGCCUGGACCUUAGACUGUUUCUUCCUGUUGAUUUAGGAAGAGAUUGUCUUACUCUCUAUGCUUCAACACAUGCAAAUCUAUGUCAUGAAAACAUCGGUUUCACAAGGGUCAGGGUGGGGUCCCAGAGAGUCAGAUGUGACUCCAGUCAUGUGCUCCCAAGGGUGUUAGAGGCUGUCACCCCCUUAUUUCAUUAAUAUCUUCUUUAUUUGGAUUCCGUUUUGUGGGGCUCGUCCCUUUUGACCCCAGUGACUGGCACAUGGCUGCCUUUUGUUGUUUGUUUGGGAAGUAGCUGAGUCAGUGCUUCUGAGAGUCUCUCUACAUUGAUCACCAAACACUGGUUUUUAGUAGCGUACAGAUGGCCUGUAAGGCAAGCUUCCCUCAAGCUGAUUGAUAUAUUGAUCAGGGAAAGGUCUUUCUGUGAAGCUCAGGUUUGCUUAGGACUUGUGGUUGUUCUCCUGCGUCCUGAGGGCUAGGAUUAAAAAUGCACACCACCAUGCCUGCCUCCAAGUUUUCACGUCUGCUUUCAAAGGAGAAACAGAGAUAAAUUACAGUCAGACAAAUUUCACAGUAACAAGAUUUUUAAAAAAAGAUUUUUAAUCUUGCUAGGCAAGCGGAAUUUAGAACGCGAGUAAACAAACAUUGAUCAUUCUUAUGAAACCGGGCAAGAACUCUCUAAUAGAGGAGAUGACACGGGACAAUUUAUUAUAAGAAUUUAAACGCUUUAUUGCACAUUAGAUGGAUGGAUGGUGGGUGCUGAUCUACCUGAGUAGCUUUUAUACGCCAUGAAUGGGUUACCUAUAAAACAAGAAUGAGCACAUCUCAAGGAAGAACAUAUUUGGAUCUACCACUCAUCAUAUGUAUAAUUAUUGUUUAACAAUAUUAUGAAGGGCCGAUGAUGAGAUGCAGGUGUUUAAACACGGAGCGCCAAUAGAUUUGACACGGCAUUCAGUGCAGGCGUAUACACUCUUUAAAGGCUCUAUUCACCUCGGAGGACAAUAAAAUGCCACACAAUGGUAAGAGUGUUUGCUAAAAACAUGAAGUGACUGGGUAAUUUUUUUCAAAUGGGCUAUUUUAUACAGCACUAAGUGUUUCUUAACUUACUAGUCUCCGUACACUCUACAUUUUGGGAUGGAAAGGGAAAUCUCUCAGCCGUGUGGGAAAGCCGAGCCCUCUGGAGAUCUUACGCUAUCUCUGAGGUCGGAUGAUGUGCCUUGUUUAGUUCCGAGCAAGUGGACUGCCGAGUGAUGGCCUGCCGCGUUGAUGGGCAUUUUUGGAGAAGAUGCAGCCUAACCUCUCGGUCCCUGGAAGAGGAAAUAGAGGCUGGGAUUUCUCAGUUCACUCUGAGGAGCCGACUCCACAGUUGAACUUGUGGCGUCCCCUAAGUUUUAUUAGGAUCUUCCCACCAUGGCACCUGGCAAAUGCGGGGCUUUACAUGAACUUCCGAGCCCACAGGUUGCACAGGUCUAGUUCCUAGGCCUCACCAAGUAGGUUCUGCGUCGUUCAACCUAAUUGGAUGGAGCUGCCCGUCUUCCAUCUCUGAUUGGUUAAUGCUUCCUUUAGCCCAUGCAUGCUGAUUCAUCGCCAGUUUUUCCUGGAAUACCCGAGUAGAAGUCGGGAAGGAGAGGAAAGAGCCCAUGUCUGCUAAAUAUGCUGUGUGUUUUUACAUGCACAUACCUUUAUAUAAAUUAUCAGUCUUAUACUCUAGACAGUGACAGGUAAUACCAUGUAAGAUUAAAUAUCUUUAAAGGGAAAACGUUGAAGACUUAUGCACUGGCAGUUUUCUUAGUGCCUGGCAUACAGACCACUUAAAUCUCACUGAGCGAGGAAUGAAUGAAUGAAUGAAUGAAUGCAUGCAUGCUAGGAUUUAACAUUGAUCUAAGUCAUUAUCAAAGCCCUGCUAUUAGCUGCUCUUUUGUAUUUUCUAGGUUCGGGAGGGAAUACAUUCACUUCCUUUGUCACUCAUCAUUGUCACUCACUGUUUAACAAAUACAUUUGCUUGUGACAGCAUCUAAGUCUCCCGGGGUUUUAGCACGUACACAUAGCUGUUACCUCGGGGUUUUGUUUUUAUGAUUUGGUGUGUGUGUGUGUGUGUGUGUGUGUGUGUGUGUGUGUGUGUGUGUGUGUGUGUGUUUGCCUGCCUGUCUGUCAUGGAUGUAGGUGACUGUAGGGGCCAGAAGAGGGCAGUGAAUCCCUUGGAGCAGGAUUUACUGGCCUUCAUGAACUGCCUGAAGUGGAUGCUAGGAACUGAACUAAGGUCCUCAGGAAGCAAUGUAAGAGUUUUUAACUGCUGAGCCAUCUCCCCAGCCCAGCCCAGCCCAGCCCAGCCCAGGCCAGGCCAGCCCAGGCCAGGCCAGCCCAGCCCAGGCCAGCCCAGCCCAGCCCAGGCCAGCCCAGCCCAGGCCAGCCCAGCCCAGGCCAGCCCAGGCCAGCCCAGCCCAGGCCAGCCCAGGCCAGCCCAGACCAGCCCAGGCCAGCCCAGGCCAGCCCAGGCCAGCCAGGCCAGCCCAGCCCAGCCCAGCCCAGCCCAGCCCACUCAGCUCAGCUUAGGAUAUUUUUAUUUUUAAGAACAGAAAUGACGUGCUCAUACAAUUAAUUGUUGGUGUUAUCACUGGAAGGUUAGAACAGCCACAGUGCCUUAAUAGAGUGCCAUGAGCAGAGCACCUCCUGAAGCCUGCUGUCCAGGUCCUGCUCUCUCACACCGCGGCUUUCAAACACUUCUGGUGCCCCCCCCCCCAUCUGUGAAAUGUUCGCUGCACUCAGAUGUUUAUUUAAAUGACUUUCACGGAUGUUGGUUUUAGUGGUUUAGUUGAUUUUAGUUGGCUCAGUGGUGAUCUCUCACAGUGCUCUGGGGAAAGGUCUCAUCAUUGACAGGACUUCAUUUUAUUCCAGAUAAACAGCUUCUCAAGACUACUUUCCUUGAGUUAUAGGAGAGGAAAGUUCAAUUCCAAAGCAGUUAAGCAGGGACAUCCUCUUCAGAGGAUGAACCUUGGUUGUAGUUUACAGCCAUACCCUCAGUGAUACGGUCCUUUAUUCAUUGAUCCACCCAGUUAAAAAAUACGUGUAUAUAAAAUAUCUGUAUAUUUAUGUAUUAAUUAUAUUUUAAAAUUCAAUUAAAAUAAAUAUGUAUAUAGCUAUUUUCAUACACAUUAGUAAUUAUAUGAAAUUGAACCCAUGAAAUACAAUUCAGUGUUUAUCAGGAAAACAUCUAUAGUUUUUACACAUAAAGAGAUACCUGCAUCGAGGUUGAUUUGGUGAAGCAUUCUUUUCGAAUGUAAAAAAAAGUCAGAAACAACUUCCGCACUUGUCAGCAAGGAGCACUUUGACUGCUGUGUAAUCCUGUAUGGCUUUAAUGAGUCAGGAUGCUGCAACCACACGGGCACAUCUGUAGGGGGAGGCAAGCUGGAGAGGAUCACAAUGUAGUGUAGUAUUGUGUAUCACAGUGUGACCCGGCGAUGUGCAGGUGUGUAUUCAUCGUGUUGAGCUUUCCAGUGGCCUCUGAAGAGUGAGACGCGUUCUUGCUUGGAUGCAUUUAGCCACACUUGCCUCUUUAUUAGGUUAAUCAAGUGAUGGAUAGAGGAAAGGAUUCUAGGAUGCUUAGUGGCUGCUGUGGAAUGGAUAGGAUUUACUAAUGUACAGGCAAGGUGGGAAGAAUUGUGCGUGAGUGGGCUGCGUGCGUGCGUGUGUGUACACUAGAACUAGAAUAGAGUUGUGGGGAUACAGAUCUUUUGGAGAGAUAGGGACAGGCAGCGGGCACAAGAACAGACCUUAGGAAGGAAGGUGAAAGGUACAGAGUGUCAAUAAUCCCAGUGUACAUUCCUCGAGGUGACCCUUCUUGUGUGACUUCAGUAAAACCUUGAUUUGCUUCCCAGCCAGCUUUUGAAAGUGAGCUUGGUUUUGUGAGGGUCACCCAUACUCCUUAGGGUCACGCAGAGACAACAAUAUGUGUUCUGCUAUGUCUAUAGGAAAGAGUACAUGUAAUUCUAACACCUAUGCCUCAGAACCCCACGAGAACACCUAGGAACGCUUCCACUUUUAAUUAUCUUGAGGGUGGUACAACCUGAGCCCUGAGUAUGCUUUAGGAUUUUAGAGUGAACAGUUACCACUUUUAUAAUUAAGACAUGAAAUUAUAUAUAUAUAUAUUCAAAUAAUAUAGUUUGUAUUAUAAAUUGAAUAGCAACAUUCCUGUAAGGUAGAGUUGCUGUGUGAAAUAGUAAGUUACAUGGUCUUAAAUACAUAUACUUUUGAGACACCUGCUUCGGGGGCCCAAUUUAAGUCACCAUCGCAGCAUGGUAAGGUCUUGGCAGGGAAAGAGUACAUGGACCACAGGGGGGUUCUAGCCAUGUGUUGGAGCAGCUAGCUUACUUCAUCUCGAUAGCUCUUGGGAGAGCAUCCGAGACGACCUUCCCCUUUCUGGCUGGCAGCCUAGGCAUCAGGGCCUCUCUGAUGUCUAGAAAGUCUAACCUGAGACAGUGUUAAAGGUUACAAAACAGAUACUGACAUUGGGUCUGGAAGAUGGCCACUGCGUCCUUCCACUGGAGGUUGCUUCCCAGUGGGAAAUGUCCUCCUCACAUGGGAAGGGGUUGGUGUAGGACUCAAGUUGAAGAAGAGAGGUAAGAAAACAAAACAAAAGCCAAAGCAUCCUGGAAAAUGGUCUUGGAGCUAAGAUGCCAAGAUGUAACAAUUUUCCCCCAUCAAUUUCAGUUCAAGAGAGAGCAAAAUAACAGAUUGGCUGGGGAUACUGACUUAGAGGUGUGGCAAAAAAAAUGAGUGUUUUGUCCUGACCUCCAGUGUGACAGACUUCCCCUGGACAACCCGAGUAAUGCUUUGAAAUCCAGAUCUCCUGGGAGCAUGGGGCUGACAAGCACUUUUCCUGAUAAACUUACUUUAGGGCAAAAUGAAGGUGGGAAACAGUUGCUGUCUGUAGACUCCAAGAGACACAGUGGAGAGAGUUUCAGGUCAGAAACUCCCUGCUUCCCUGCAUUCUUCAGUCAGAUGGCCCUCUGCUGUGUGGGCUGCAGGAGUGGGGUGCAGAAAGGCUUCUUUUGCAGGACAAAACUGGAAGAGUAUGUUUUUCAAAGAAAGCAAAUGCAUUUUUAGGGGAGAAUUAGGAGGUUUGAUAUGCAAGUCAGCACCUUCAAGUGAUGGCCUUUCAUUGUAGCUUUCAGAAGAGCCCAGGCUAGCCCACCUCUGAAAUGAAGUCAGUUGGUUUAUACACUUCCCUUCUACCAAGCUCACCCUCAUUGUGGGAAGCCCUGAGCUCUUUAAAAGGAGACUCUCUUGUACACAAAGACAGAAGUGACUCAUCAAUUUUGUUCAGCGUAUCAAGGACUUGCAGGAUUCAAGGAAAACCAAUCAUACCAAAGAGAAGAACUAAGAGAAUCCAACAGAGAAAAUGUCAACGGUGAACACCGACAGCAUUCAGAAACCAGGAGAAAAACUCCACUCUGAGAAGACAUCUAAUUAGUACACUGGGGGAUUCUGAGAAGAAGCCAGAGGCUAAGAACAGCUGUGUCCUUUAAAAGGAGGCAAUCAGCAAGCCGGGGGAGCUCAUGGAAUGAAGAUGUGAUUGUUGGAAGCAAAAAAUGUUGUAGACAAUGAAGGAAAAUUGUAGAAAACCUGCCAAAGUGGAAGGCAAAAUGACAAAACUAUUUUAAAAAAAAAGCAAGAGAAAAGUUACCUGGGAUGAGUAGAAAAUUGAACAUGGCAAAUGUGUCCCCAAAAGAGCUACAGGGUGAAUCUGGUUUGGGAGAUCAAUGCUCUGAGGCAGGAUAGUGGACAAGAAAAAUUAAGAAGACACAGGAAGAGGACCCAUCCUCUUACCUUGGAGCCUGAUCAUCUCCUGCCAGCCACAAGGCAAGCAUUCUUGCCCGAUUGACAUUUGCUCUGAAGGUUGCCUUGAUAGAACCAUUGCCCCAUGUAUUCAAUUUUAAUCAAAUGUUUGGAUGAUUUAUUUCAUUCAUAUAUUGUGUGCAUGUCUAUGUGUGUAUGUGAAUGGCGUGUGCAUGUGUGUUCUGUGCUCACCUACGGUGGCCAGAAGGGGCAACACGUGUUCCUCUCGCUAUUUCUUUGAGGCAGGUUCUUUCCUUUAGCCUGGUGCUCCGUGUUGGAAGCCAGAAAGCCCUAGCAAUCCUCUUGACCCCUCCCCGCUUGGAGUUGGGGACACAGGUUGUGUGGGAUCUCUGACUUGUUGCGGGGGACUGGGAUCCAAACUCUGGACCUUGGUAUUACAGAGCCACCUCUUCAACUCCUUUUAAAUAAGAACGCUAAGUUAAAACGAAUCAUACUUAAGUGUAAGCAAAUAUUGCCUUAGUACUACCUAGAUUUUUCUGGAAAUCUUAUAAACUAGACUAUCAACUUUUCAUUUUUAGUAGAGACACUCUGGUGUCUAAGUAUUGGAGCCCAGGCCUCUACUCUAUCAGUAUGAUCCUAAACAGUGCCCCUCAGAAGUCAUGGUUUCCUUAAACUCGCUCAGCAACCCUUGAAAUUCAACUUCAGAAUCACCCAUAUCAGCAUGUACGGCAGUUGUAAAGACAACCGAGCGCGAGUCGUUCUUGAGAAAGCCGAGCUCACAUGCUGUGGCAAAGCUGCAUCCAUACUGCUAUUCUUUCGGUUAAUUCCUAUGUUUGGAUCUCUUAAAACAUCUCCCUAACAAAUUCAAACGCUGCUGCUGCCUCUGUAGCACAGACUGCUUUCCUUACCGUGGUCAAAAAUCCUGGCUUUCCCUGGGAGAAGAGCUCCUCCGGCGGCUGCAGAGGCAGUGUAGAGCCGUGCCUGUAGACUCUACCAUUGCGGCGGGCUUCUUACGGACAGGACUAUGAAGACGUAAACUUUUGGGUGGGUGGGGGAGCCACUCACAGGCCCAGAAUCUCGGGACCCCGAUUCUUCCAUCGCUGAGCUUGAAGUCAUUCCCUCCCUAUUCUCCUCAUCUCAGGUGAAACCGUGGGAUCUAUUUUGGACAAUUUAUUUUGUUGCUGCUGUUUUUGUUGCCUACAUUACUCUAGACUGUCGCCGGGCCUGUUGGCACAGGUCUGCAAUCUCAGCUACUCCGAGGCUGAUUCCGAUCUACAUACGAGAUCUUAUCACUAGGUAAGAGCGAUUGCUUUACCUCGUCCUUUCCAACGCGUGUUAUCUUCCAUUGCCUUUCUUCUUUAACCCCACUAUGAUGGGCAGGGCUCUUCUAAUACUGAUAGAUGCGAGAGCUUGUCUUGUUCCAAAAUGUAGAGCUAUCAGUCUUUUAAUUCGGAGCAUAAUGUUAGUUGUGGAUAUAUCAUGAAGUUUUCAUUAUGUAAAGGCCACUAGUCUUAGCUUUCUUGAGCGUUCAUUACCAGGAAAGUUCAUUGAAUCGUUAGAUACAUUAGUUUGGGUUCUACUGAGAUAAUCAUCUUAAAUGAAUUAAUAUAUUACAUCACCGCCCCCCCACCCCCAACAUUGAACCGUCCUUGAAUUCUAAGAAUAAAUUCCACUUGGUCAUAACACAUGAUUAUCAUCAUGUACUAUUGAGUUCAGUUCCCCAGAUCUUUGUUGAGGAUUUUUGAGCCUUUAUUUCUUGGGGGUAUUGGUCUGUAAUUUUCCUGUGGCCUCUAAGAUUGGCUUUGUUAGUAGAAAGAUACUGGUAACACACCUCAUGGUAACACACCUCAUCUUAUUCAGAGUUGACAUUUUAUUUGCAGAAAUUGUGUGUGUGUGUGUGUGUGUGUGUGUGUGUGUGUGUGUGUGUGUGUGUGUGUACAUGUGGACACUAGAGAACAGCUUCAGGUAUUGGUUUCAUUUCUUACUUUUGUUUUUGUUUUGUUUGAGAUUUAGUCUCUCACUAGCGAGAGCUUGCCGACUAGGUUAAGAUGGCUGACUAUCUCUGCUUCCUGAUUUCUGGGUUUAACAUGCUCAGCAAUUUCACAUGGCUUCUCAGAGUUGAACUUAAGGCCCUCAUGAUGGUAAGGCAAACUCUUCACUCCAUGAGCCAUAUCCUCACUGCACUGUAGAACUCAGGGCUCUCCAUUCAAUGCAGAUGAUGGUUUCCUCUCAUUCCUAAUAGCUACUGUUAGGUGCAAUUGCUGUAUCUGUAAAAAAAAAAAUGGACAUAAUACACUGUUUCAUAGAAUGUGUAGCAUGCAUCCAAUGUGUUGAUGUAAACCCCAAUUCAGUGGGGGUAGAGACCACCAUCAACUUGUGAAGUAGUUGAGCAGAAGGGCUAAGGUAGUGUGGUUCUCAAAUUGUGGGUCACAACACCUUUGGUGGCUCUGGGUCAAAUGACCUUUUCACAGGGUCCCACAUCAGAAAUCCUGCAUAUCAGAUAUUUAUAUCGUGAUUUGUAACAGUAGCAAGAUUACAGCUAUGAAGUAGCAACUAACUUAAUUUUAGGGUUGGGGCCAGCACAACCUGAGGAACUGGAUUAAAGGGUUGUUGUAUUGAGGACCUUGGCUGAGGCUGAGGAUUCUGGGAUAUGAAGCACUGUCUGUCUGCUCCCCUUUUCAGGUUUGUGCCUGUUAGUACCAACUCUCUUGUCCUCUGGUAUUGCUGCCUCAUUAGCUCCAUAAACUCAAUCCCCACGAAUCUCUAAGGGGCCUUCUAGUCUCACACGAUUUCCACUUCCCAAGAAGACAGUUUCCCAAUAAAUGGGAACGUAGUCAGAAGCAGCUGAAACAUCCACAUACAGUUUAAAACACAAUCUCCUGCUCUAGAUCUCUCAUGUAAUUGUGAAGGGAUCAUUCAUUUUUUUAAAAGUUUUAUUGGAAAUAGAUUCUUCUCUCAUACAAUACAUCUCGAUCACAGUUUCUCCUCCUCCUACUCCUCCCAACUUCCCCCACCUUCCCACUCCCCCAGAUCCACUUCCCCUCUGUAUCCUCUUCAGGAAAGAGCAGGCCUCCAAGAUACAGCCAAACAGGACACUGUAAGACAAAAUAAGGCAAGGCAAAAGCCCUCAGAUCCAGGCUGUGCAGGGCAACUCAACAGGAGGAAAGGAAGCCUAAGACCAGGCAAGAGACACACUGGCCUCCACUGUUAGGAGUCCCACAAAACACCCAGCUGACAGUUCUAUGCUCUGGUGCAGCCAUGCAGGCCUCAUGCUUGUCACUUCAGUUAGAGGGCAUGGAGAACGUUUCCCACCAAAUCCACUAAGCAGGGCUCACAGAGACUGAAGCAGAAUCACUAUUUCUGAUACUUCUAAGGUGAGAAGACAGAGGCAAAGAAAAGGAAACUCAGGCAGUUUGCUCUUGGUAGAGUCAGGAUUCACCCUGUGCUGUGGUCGCCAUAGAGGUCGACUUUCUAAACCGAGAAUCCCUAUUGAUAAAGGUUGUUGUUGCUAUUGUGCCUUGAUACUGUCUUACCUUUCUUUAAAUCAAAUCAUCUACAUCUCUAAGGCUCAGGAAAUGAGUUUUUGGUCUUUAUUUAAAAAUACCUAAUUUCUGCCUCUAUUUUGACUUUGUAAAUUUUUUCAGUCAUUGUUCCUGAUUGUUAACUCAGCAGUGCCUAUCUCCGUGAAGCACUGCACCUGACACUCCCUGAAGGGCUUUCAGACCCUGGUUUUACCUCUGGGACCAGGGGAAGGAGGCAGGGAACUCAGGACAUUGCUUCUACCUGACUUCUGCUCAGGGGGAGAGUGUGGUGGCUUGCUGAUUGCUCACACCUAGGCCAGCAUUUCAGAGACUCUCCUUCAGAGACUCAGCACCUCCCCCUUUGCUUCAGGAUGCUGUUUGGGCGAAUGCUACCACCGCACAAGCAGACUGAGACCAGAUCAUGCAACAUCGAGUCCCAGAACUCCGAAUGCUUUUAGUUACCCAUUAGCAAAUGCGGAAGAUAAAGCUGCCUCUAAUUAUGAGGGCCAAUAAGAUCAAGAACUCUGUACAACUUAGGGUGUCAGGGGCUAGUUGACCUCUCUGUAUCAUUUUCAUCACAGGUAAAGUGUAGUAGACACAAUCCUGAUUCUGCAAGGUCGUGACCAGGACUUGAGAUGUGUGGUGCAUUUAUGAUGAUGGCCUAUGUAUUAUAGCAAGCGCUCAAGGGCUAGUGCUCCUGUCCCGUAGUGACAGGAGAGCAAAAUAUCUUGCUAGGAAAUAGCCAAAGAUGUCGCACAUCCCACCAAGGUGGUUGCUAACAAGGCUUCCUGCUUAUCACCUUACAUAUUGCAUUGCAGCCCGAUUUCAUCCAUCUUCACCCUUAGAUUUGGCUUCCUGUGCCUAUUUCAAGUGCCUAGUUCAAGUCAUUUUUCUGCUCUGGGUCUCCGUCCUCUCUUCUUUGAGAUACGUAUACAGAGGGCUUGCACUCAGCGGCGCAUCCUGAGACAACGUCCUGUUGUCAGAGCUUUUCUGCUCUCACUGUUUAUCUGCUCGACCGGAAGCUUCACGCUCAGCAAUGGCCAUAAGCCUGAGGACGAACAGUGUGCAGAAGAAAGCACCUUUACUCCAGCUUAACAUGUUUGUGCAGUGACCUCGUUGGGUAACUCCGAGCCCGCUUUGAUACACUUCCUAUUAAAAUUCUGCCUCAUCUGCAUCUUGUCUGUCAGAAAUUACUUGCGCCCGGAGGAAGUCAGGCAGAAAACCUGUUCAACUUCUUGUCCUUUAAGAAACGGCACUUUGAUUUCAGAGGUUCGACUUGGCUAGGUAAUGAAAUUAUCAUGGUGGAACAAGGCGUAGGAAUAGUAAGGAUGAUAAUUCUUCUUUGCCCAUUGUAUGCUUUUGCUAUUCAUAAGUUUUAGGGCCUUAGAUAUUAGAUACAGUUACGUAAGGCCUCAUGAACGGUAAUUAUCUUUUGGCCAAAGAAAAAGCCCAAACGAAUUCUAAGCUGCAUUAUCGCUUGGCUUCUGACAUGAGCUGAUAAUCAGAUUUUCUUGCUUAAAUCCAUGGUGCUUGAACAAUGCUACCCACUGUCUGCGCUUCCCGAUAUUACCCUUAAUUAGAAAGAGCAGAAACACAAAUCUGAAUUAUUUCAAAAUCUGGUUUCCAUGGUCAGUGGUUUGAAAGGCUUAACUUCAUUAUAAAUAAACCCGGUUUUAUUGGCUAAUGAAAUCUGAGAUGUGAAGCCUGGGAGGGUGGGGGCGCAGGGCUCUGAUGUUUACACACCCAAAUAUCCAACGUGGACAGAGUGUUUCAGAAUAAACCAUUGGAUAUUUGAAUUACGAUUUCUUUGUCCCAGGUACAGUGCCAUUUGUGAACCUUACCACCAAGGGGGACCCGAAAGGAGCCGGAAUUUAUGCAUUAUUGAAAAGCAAAAUUUUCAAGUUUAAUUAUAUUUCAAUGGCUAUCAAGGAGAUCUUGACCUAUUUUAUAUAUAUAUAUAUAUAUUCCACUUUGGUCUUUUUCGUUCCUUCUGGAUAUUGAGGUUCAAGGUUAUACAUGUGUGUUGGUCUGCCUGUGUCUACAUAUGCCUCCUCAGUGUUUGGGUCUAAAAUAUUUACAAUGGGCGUGCAUGCUUGCAUGCGUGUGUAUGCGUGUGUGCCUGCGCAGUACAGAAUAAUGAAUGGGCCGGCAUAGGCAGGAACUCAAUUGCAUUUCAUUUAUGGUCCAAUAAAAAGAAGGCUAAUAAUAGCUAAGGGAAACUGACCCCAUUUGACAGACUAAUAAUGGAAGCACAGGUAGUAACUUUGUCCAUCUGUGUGACAACAGGGCACUCUCCUAGGACAUAUAAUGACCUCAAACACUGUCAAGAGUCGUGGUCACAUGUAUCACAGCUGUUCUUCCAGUUUCCCUGUGGCUAGCGAGGACACAGGUGUCUCUUAUACCUUAACUGAGACCCAGAUCUCUUUUCUACUCCAUUUUAAUGUUUCUCAAAAGGACUUUUACCCACUUGCCAUCCCUAUCUUCUCCCUUUCAAUGUUCAUUGAUAUUUUCUGUUCAACUCAUCCACUUCCCUACCCUCUCUGUGCUUGGUGCUUUGUUCCCAUAGAAAUCAUUCAUGACAACAGGAAUUGCCCUGCCGAAUGCGCAGAAUCUGGCUGAAGAUGCUGGAGCUUAGAGAGGAUCAUGUGUGCGGCGACUGUUAGAGGCAGAACUCAGAAUAAAAGUGAUUAAUCCCAGCACUGGGGAUCCGAGCACUGUGUUAUAUUUUCCCUGCCAAGCUGCGUGGCUUCCCUCAAAUCAGUCUUUUUGCCUUCGCAGCUCUAUAUGGUUGGAGAUUCGAAGCCCUUCCCUUCCCAGUCACCUAGCUCAAGAUGAAUAUUUCUGGGAUCCAGGCUCCUGUGAUUUAAGGGGUUCAUUAUGGGACCAAGUGUUUGCCUAGGGUAGUCCUGGUGAGGUAAGAGACAUUGACUUCACUUCCAUAGGGAAUCGUAUGGAGACCAGUUGCCUGAGGCCAGGAAAGGGCUUUUGAAAUAGUUGGCUGGAAACUAUGCUAUAGAUGGUUCUCAGGAAACAGCCAUCUGCCUUAGACAGUGAAGACGAGUGAGGGCUGUUAGCAGACAUUUUAGACUGCCCUCACUUACACAGCUCCUCUCCUUGAAUGCCAAGGAAUUAAUGGCAGAGCUUCUAAUUGGCACAGUGCAAAUUGGUUUCAGGGAGCUAAGACACAGAUGUGAUGCCGUUAGCUCACUCAGAGCCCCGUGGAGCCUGAGCUAGACUGGUCAUGUCAGGCCAGUUGUUCUUAGCCUUGCAGAACCUCAGCUGGGCUAGCUCAGUGUUUCUUAUAAAGACCAAGUGGUUUAUAUAUAACUAUCUUUCUGUAUAUCCCUCAUUAACAAUUAUGAAGAAAGUGGUCAUGAAUUUAGAGAGGUGUGUGUGUGUGUGUGUGUGUGUGUGUGUGUGUACACAAGAGGAGUGGGAGUGGGUUUAGGGGAGUAGAUGUGGUGAAAACAUAUUUAAUCUUUAUAGGAAAUUCUCAAAAUGAAUAGCUUUAAAGGGGAGAAAAUAAAGGAAAGAAGCGAAUUGGGUAUUAAAGCCUCUUUAGGUUCCUGAGGGGAGUCUUUCAGAUGGGAUAGGCUAACAUAUGCAGAGGAGGAAGUUCAGAGAAGCAUUGCGGAGAAAACCAAAGAAACCUGUUCAAACCUGACCCCGCAGGCCCUACACCCGGUACAUGGAGGAAGAGGACAAAAUAUACAAAACACGAGGCCAUCUUUUAAAAAGAAGAGAAGAGAUCGGGAGAACAAGAGGUCACUGGAGAGGAACUGUGUGCUAACCCACAUGGGAGUGGGCGGGAAGUCCCUAGAAAGUAGAAAGGAAAAGUUAAAAUGAGAAAUGAGAGGGGAGAGGAAUAGAAUGAAGGAAAGGGCUGGAGAGAUGGCUCAGCGGUUAGAGCACCGGCUGCUCUUCCAGAGGUCCUGAGUUCAAAUCCCAGCAACCACAUGGUGGCUCACAACCAUCUGUAAUGAGAUCUGAUGCCCUCUUCUGGUGUGUCUGAAGAUGGUGACAGUGUAUUCACAUAACUAAAACUAAAUAAAUCUUUAAAAGAAUGGAGGAAGGGAAGGGAAAUGGGGGCGGGGAAGAGAGCCAACGCACACUGUGAGAGACUAUGAGUUAUUUUUACAAAAACAAGAAAGGAAGAAGAAAGAAAAAGGGAGAAAAGAAAACGGAAGAAAAAAAAGUUCCUAAAAACUGCAAAACAGGAAUUUCCAGGUUGAAGGGAGUGGUCGGAAUGCCCGUCGGUGUAAUGAAAGAAAAGCCACACGAUGGCACUUUAUUGUGAAACCUAUUUCAAUAGUGACAAAGAGAUCUUAAACCUUUUUUUUUUUUUUUUUUUUUUUUGGAGAUAAAUGACAAGGCAUACAAACAAAACAAAUAUCACCCGGGCAGAUCAGAAAAGAACAUAAAUCAGGUGGCACCAGGCAUCAUCAGCCUGAGAUACCAGACGUCAGAGACAGUCAGGAGAACAUGUGUACUGUGCAGUCUUUUAACCAGAAGAUGUGCACGCUCAGUAGAUGACAGACAUUAUUAUUUCCCUGUCAUGUCGCCAGGUAUUGUUCUUAGGCAUUUUAAACUGGUAGGAAGUGACCUCCCAGGAUAGAAAGACUCUCUAUAAAUGACAUAGGGGAAAGACGCAGACUCUAUUCAGUUUUUUUGUCCUUGCCCAAUUGACUGUGAGGAUUUAAGAUUUAUUCUGAAAAAAAGUUUUUUACAGACACUGUUAAUCCCUGUAAAUAACUUGUGGAUCCUGGAGCAAAAUGAAAAUGUCACUUCUUAAUGGUAAUAAAACAAACACUUUAGCUUUGAAAUAUCCUAAAAAAUCAGAACUCACAAAGUUAAAAAAUGACAUUUUUGCAUCAAUUUUGCACAAUAUGGUGAAUAAUGCUUCUUCAAUGUUGUGUCUUAAUUGAUCACAAAGAUUUUUCUCUGGCUUGUUUCCUAUAAAUGUACUUAUAAGGACAUUUUAAAAACCCUUUGCUUUUAGCACGUUCCUUUUCAAUAUUGUAAAUAAUCUCUGACGACUUUUUAUUUUCAGAAGAACUGUUUUUUAUGUGAACUAUAUAUACACUAUAUAUACCACACCGCUGUUGACAUUGUUUAGUGUAUUGUAUAGUUUCUCACACCAUUGGGCUAGAUCUUUGAGAAAUUAUUUUGAAAUAAAAGUUUUAAUACAUCUGGAGUUGGUUAUUCCUACAGAGCGUUUUACAUUUUUAAAUGUACUUUAAAAAAAUCUUUAUGUCUGCGUUCGCCUGCAUGCGUGCUUGCGCCCUGCAUGCCUGGCUGGCUCCCUUGAAGGUCGUAAGAGGGUAUAUGAAACCCCUUUGAAACCAGAGUGGCAGCAGCUUGUGAACUGCCACGUAGGGGUGGGACAGAACCGGAGUUGCCUGGAAGACCGUCCAGCGCCUCUAACCACUGAACGAUUUCUCAAUUUCCCUAGCCUACAGAAUCGUUUCAUAAGAAGUAUCUUCACCUACAAAUCCAUUUUACACGAGUCUGCUCGACAAGGGCCACAAUGUUCCCUUGUUUCUUCUGAAAUUUCCCGUAACUGUUGAAUGUUAUAAGAAGCCGAGAGGGCCUGCGGUAGGCAUGCCCCUAAGGAGUAUAGUUUCAACUUUUUAUGAGAUGGCUUACUGUGCGUAUUGUCAACAACAACAACAGCAGCAACGAUAAACCUCUUGAUCGUACGCAUAAGUGUUAGUAGUAAGUGUUGUCUCUUUAACUUGGGGGAGAGGUAGAUUUCCUAGAAAUUUCCUCCCAAGGCAGAGUGAGUUCCAGCAUUAACUAUGCUAUCUCUUAUCAGAAUCGGUUUUACCCAGAGUACUCUGCUUCUUGAACCCUCAUCUUACAAAAACAGCAAACUCAGCCCCAAGAGCAAGAAGCACAGGAGGUAGUCCAUCCAGCACAGCCUGUCUUAUGUGAAGAGAGAUAGAAAAGCUGUGCUCAGAUAACCGUAGCAGCUCUGGCUUCUGCGCUUGCACUGGGAAGCCCUCAUUCAAGGAGUUUUGACAUAAUUUCACAGUUUGCCUCAACUAAAGUUUCUGUAACCAAUAGGAGGGGGGUGCGGUGAUGUGCUCAAAUAUAAAUGUUUGUUUUACCCAAACCAUAAUGGCCCAAAGUUGUAGUCUGGACUCCCAAGUUCAUGAGAGUAAAAUAAAAGUGAGAAAAAAACAAACAAACAAACAAAAAAAAAAAAAACAAUCGACGGAAGCCUUUCUGUGUGGAGGGAAUAGACUUGCCAGGCAGGUCCCUGUUUUAGGUCGCUGGGUUUGAUAUUGGUUCCCUUUCUCCUUUGUUGGUGUGCAGAACCAACACCAUGAACACCAUGAACACAAGACAGUGGC